ensembl:snRNA U6 U6 spliceosomal RNA
GUGUUUGCUUCAGCAGCACAUACACUAAAAUAGGAACAAUACAGAUAAGAUUCGCAUAGUCCCUGCGCAAAAAUGGCAUGCAAAUUUGUGAAACAUUCCAUAUUUUU